GUAGGUGGCAAGCGUUGUCCGGAAUUAUUGGGCGUAAAGCGCGCGCAGGCGGUUCUUUAAGUCUGAUGUGAAAGCCCACGGCUCAACCGUGGAGGGUCAUUGGAAACUGGAGAACUUGAGUACAGAAGAGGAAAGCGGAAUUCCACGUGUAGCGGUGAAAUGCGUAGAGAUGUGGAGGAACACCAGAGGCGAAGGCGGCUUUCUGGUCUGUAACUGACGCUGAGGCGCGAAAGCGUGGGGAGCAAACAGGAUUAGAUACCCUGGUAGUCCACGCCGUAAACGAUGAGUGCUAAGUGUUAGGGGGGUUUCCGCCCCCCUUAGUGCUGCAGCUAACGCAUUAAGCACUCCGCCUGGGAGUACGGCCGCAAGGCUG
rnacentral:rRNA from 1 species